AUUGAACGCUGGCGGCAUGCUUUACACAUGCAAGUCGAGCGAGCGGCGGACGGGUGAGUAAUGUAUGGGGACUGCCCGAUAGCGGGGGAUAACUACUGGAAACAGUGGCUAAUACCGCAUACUAUCGGAUAACCCAUAUGGGAUUAGCUAGUAGGUGGGGUAAAGGCUCACCUAGGCGACGAUCCCUAGCUGGUCUGAGAGGAUGAUCAGCCACACUGGGACUGAGACACGGCCCAGACUCCUACGGAGGCAGCAGUGGGGAAUAUUGGACAAUGGGCGAAAGCCUGAUGCAGCCAUGCCGCGUGUAUGAAGAAGGCCUUAGGGUUGUAAAGUACUUUCAGCGGGGAGGCGUUACCCGCAGAAGAAGCACCGGCUAACUACGUGCCAGCCGCCGCGGUAAUAC
rnacentral:rRNA from 1 species